UUCAAUGGGAUUAUCCCAUGACAGAUUGCACGCUCUUGUCUCCUCGUUUUCACCAUAGUCUACUCCGAAACCUCUCUCUCUGUCUCUUCAUUUUGUUCUCCAACAACCAAACAACACAAAAGCCUCUUUCAAAUUCAAUCUCAAUUCACCUCUCUCGUAUCCCCAUUUUCUAAUUUUCACUCCAUAAUUUCAUAAUUAAACCCAAACCCAGAUAUGGUAUCAGCAAUGGCUGCCACGUGUUCUCCGACCUCUCUCCAGCUUCGAUUAGCCUUCAACUCCCAUAACUGUAGACGAUCACCUGCAACACUCACACGGGCUUGUGUGAGGAAGAAGAAGAGUGAUAGUAACCUUCGCUUUCUCUUGCUGUCUCAAAAUGAACCGCGACGUAAUGGGAGUUCGUGGGUCGUGUCGAGUUCGUGGACUGAUUCGGAUAAUGGGAGUGAUGAGUCUAUUGAGAAUCAGAGAAAGAAAUGGUUUGGAGGCAUGGUUGGAGCUGGAGUAGCUGGGGUCAUCCUAUUUGCGGGGCUUACCUUUGCAGCAUUGUCUUUAAGCAAGCGGAGCACUUCCAGACCAAAACAAGAGAUGGAACCAUUCACAACUCAGCAGGAAGUUUCAUUGGUCUCUGACAAGGAGGAUGAUAAAGUUGAGGAGAGUGAAAGCAAGGAAAGCAAGAAAGGUAUAGAAACGGAUCUUUCUUCAUCUCCAGAACUUAAUGAAGCACCCAGUGAAAAUAAACUUGGUGACAAUAAGGAGACCUCUGUAGACAGUGUUGAUUAUGCUACUAGGGUCAGUGAUACUGUUGAUAAUGAGCCUGUUCAAGAAAAUUUGCAAUAUGAAUCAAAUUUUGAUGACAAAUCUGUUACUCCUGAAACAACAACCAGCUCAGAGAAUUUGCCCAGUUCUGAUAUUAGUGCAAGUUCCUCUAUAUCAACCUUUGAAAUAGAACAAAACCCUGUUAAUGUAGAACCUAGCAAUGUGCCAGAUAUAACAAAUCUUAACACGGACCACCAGAGUGAAUCGCCUGCCUCAAAGAUAGAUGAGAAUUAUGACUCAUCGUUGAAUUCUUCUAAUUCCAUCAUUUGUGAACCCAGUGAUCCUGUGGGUGUGAAAAUUUCAGAGAGUUCACCCAUGGAUACAAGUUCAGAACCUCAAAUUGUCCCCCAAGAUGAUAUGGAGACUGUAGCCUCAUUUUUAACCAAAGAAAAUCUUGAUCUGAGCAAUACAACCCAGGAUUCAGCUGAGAGAAAUAGUUCCCUGGAAGUGAAUCACUUAGAUGAAAGAGAUUCCUCAGAAACAAUUUCCGAGUCAGCUUCAGUCGACCCAUUUGCAAACACAGACGUCAUUAUUGCUAAUAAUGAGAUGAAGGAAAGCAAACCAUUUUUUGAACCACCAACUCCUGAAAUUUCCUUCUCAGCUGGUAUACCUGCUCCAUCUGCAGUUUCUGCAGCCUUGCAGGUGCUUCCUGGAAAGGUUCUAGUUCCUGCAGUUGUUGAUCAGGUUCAGGGGCAGGUAUUAGCUGCACUGCAAGUUUUGAAGGUUAUUGAGGCGGAUAUUCAAUCCAGUGAUCUAUGUACCCGGCGUGAAUUUGCUCGUUGGUUAGUGACUGCUAGCAGUGCUCUUUCAAGGAGCACGGUGUCAAAAGUAUAUCCUGCAAUGUACAUAGAGAAUUUUACUGAACUUGCAUUUGAUGAUAUCACGCCUGAUGACCCUGAUUUUUCAUCCAUUCAAGGCUUAGCUGAAGCAGGACUUAUCUCAAGCAAGCUUUCAAGUGGUGGUUUGCUUUCUUCUUCAGUUGAAAACCAAGGUCCAUUUUACUUUGCUGCUGAAAGCCCUUUGUCACGCCAGGAUCUUGUCAGUUGGAAGAUGGCCCUUGAGAAAAGACAAUUUCCAGAAGCUGAUAAAAAGAUGCUGUACAAAGUUUCUGGGUUCAGAGAUAUUGACAAGUUAAACCCGGAUGCAUGGCCUGCUCUUGUGGCUGACUUGUCUGCAGGAGAUCAAGGAAUUAUAUCACUUGCAUUUGGUUGCACGAGAUUGUUCCAGCCAGAUAAACCUGUCACAAAGGCCCAAGCUGCUGUUGCUCUUGCAACUGGUGAGGCUUCUGACAUAGUUAGUGAGGAGCUUGCACGUAUUGAAGCAGAAGCUGUGGCAGAAAAUGUCGUUUCUGCCCACAAUGCUUUAGUAGCUCAAGUUGAACAGGAUGUAAAUGCAAGUUUUGAGAAGGAGCUUUCCAUUGAGAGGGAAAAGAUUAAUGCUAUAGAGAAAAUGGCUGAAGAGGCAAGGUGCGAAUUAGAAACAUUAAGAGCUGAGAGAGAGAAGGAUGAUAUUGCCUUGAUGAAGGAGCGUGCUGCUAUUGAAUCUGAAAUGGAAGUUCUUUCAAAGUUAAGGCGUGAAUUGGAGGAGCAAUUGCAAAGCCUUUUGAGCAACAAGGUGGAGAUAUCAUAUGAAAAGGAAAGGAUUAGCAAACUUCAAAAAGAAGCAGAGAGUGAAAAGCAGGAGAUCUCUAGAUUACAGUAUGACCUAGAGGUUGAGCGGAAAGCCUUGUCAAUGGCCAGGGCAUGGGCUGAAGACGAGGCAAAAAGAGCAAGAGAGCAGGCAAAAGCCCUUGAAGAGGCUAGAUAUCGGUGGGAGAAGCAUGGCAUCAAGGUGGUGGUUGACAGUGAUCUUAAUGAAGAGAGUUCUACUGGAGUUACAUGGCUGACUGCUGGAAAGCAAGUCUCUUCUGUUGAAGGAACUGUUAACAGGGCUGAGAACUUGGUGGACAGGCUCAAGCUAAUGGCAGAUGACAUUAGAGGGAAAUCUCGAGUAGUACUUGAUAAAAUCAUUCAGAAAAUACUGGUCUUAAUCUCAGUUCUGAAGGAGUGGAUUGCAGAGGCAUGUGCGAGGACCAAAGAACUUAAAGAAGCCACCAUCUCAAAGACAUGGGCAUCAAUACACGAGUUGCAGCAGAACACAACUGAAUUUAGUUCUGCCAUCAAGGAGAAGACGAUAGGAUCAAUGCAAGAGUUGAAGCAGCACACUGCAGAAUUUGGUUCAGCUGUCAAGGAAGGCACAAAGCGGGUGACAGAAGAUUGCAGGGAAGGAGUGGAGAAACUGACGCAGAAGUUCAAAUCCUGAAUGCUCCCCCAGACUCCCUGUCCCUUCCCACUGUACCAGUAAUAAAUUUUGCAGGUUUCACUUCUAAUCAAGAAUUCCGCUAUGACUUUUGCCAAGAUUCUAUGGUUCAUCACUAUUCUCGAACCCCAAAAUGCAAGAUUGAUAGCUUAAACGCAUGCAUCUCUCAAAUGUUUGUGCAGCUGGAAACCUACCCGUGCCAGGUCUAGAUAGUGUUUGAUAUGCUUAGAUAAUUGUUUGAUAUGCUAGAUAGUAUUAAUUAGAUUGGACUUAACUAGAGUUGGACUAGACAAAUAACUUUUUUGUCUUGUGUUUAGGAUGCAUUGGACUAAUUUGGACUGGACAAUCUUGUGUUUAGAAUGCAUUGUACUGGAUUGAACAAUUAAGUAAAAAACCAAAAUGAUUAGGUUUUCAACUA